rnacentral:rRNA from 1 species
UACGGGGGGGGCAAGCGUUGUUCGGAAUUACUGGGCGGAAAGGGCUCGUAGGCGGCCAACUAAGUCCGACGUGAAAUCCCCAGGCUUAACCUGGGAACUGCGUCGGAUACUGGAUGGCUUGAAUCCGGGAGAGGGAUGCGGAAUUCCAGGUGUAGCGGUGAAAUGCGCAGAUAUCAGGAGGAACACCGGUGGCGAAGGCGGGACUCUGGGCCGAUACUGACGCUGAGGAGCGAAAGCGUGGGGAGCGAACAGG